rnacentral:rRNA from 1 species
GACGGGGCCGCACAAGCGGUGGAGCAUGUGGUUAAUUCGACGCGACGCGAAGAACCUUACCAGGGCUUGACAUCCCCUGACCGCGUAUGAAAGUACGUUUUCACCCUCGGGUGACAGGGAGACAGGUGGUGCAUGGUUGUCGUCAGCUCGUGUCGUGAGAUGUUGGGUUAAGUCCCGCAACGAGCGCAACCCCUACGUUUAGUUGCUAACGCGUGAAGGCGAGCACUCUAGACGAACUGCCGUUGACAAAACGGAGGAAGGUGGGAUGACGUCAAAUCAUCAUGCCCCUUAUGUUCUGGGCUACACACGUGCUACAAUGGCCGGUACAGACGGACGCAAAGCCGCGAGGUGGAGCAAAUCCUAAAAAGCCGGUCUCAGUUCGGAUUGCAGGCUGCAAUUCGCCUGCAUGAAGUCGGAAUCGCUAGUAAUCGCAGGUCAGCAUACUGCGGUGAAUACGUUCCCGGGCCUU